UGGGGGAUAUUGCACAAUGGGCGAAAGCCUGAUGCAGCGACGCCGCGUGGGGGAUGAAGGCCUUCGGGUUGUAAACUUCUUUUGCUCUGAACAAGGCGCACCAUGGGGUGUGUUGAGUGUAGGGGUUGAUUAGCGCCGGCUAACUACGUUCCAGCAGCCGCGGUAAUACGUAGGGCGCGAGCGUUGGCCGGAAUUAUUGGGCGUAAAGGGCUUGUAGGUGGCUGGUUGCGUCUGUCGUGAAAGCUCAGGGCUUAACUGUGGGUUUGCGGUGGGUACGGGCUGGCUUGAGUGCAGUAGGGGAGGCGGGAAUUCCUGGUGUAGCGGUGGAAUGCGCAGAUAUCAGGAGGAAAACAGGUGGCGAAGGCGGGGCUCUGGGCUGUUACUGACACUGAGGAGCGAAAGCAUGGGGAGCGAACAGG
rnacentral:rRNA from 1 species